rnacentral:rRNA from 1 species
AACGAACGCUGGCGGCAUGCCUAACACAUGCAAGUCGAACGAGACCUUCGGGUCUAGUGGCGCACGGGUGCGUAACGCGUGGGAACCUGCCCUUAGGUUCGGAAUACCUCCCCGACAUGGGUGCUAAUACCGGAUAAUUUCUUCGGACCAAAGAUUUAUCGACUUUGGAUGGGCCCGCGUUGGAUUAGCUAGUUGGUAGGGUAACAGCCUACCACGGCGACGAUCCAUAGCUGGUCUGAGAGGAUGAUCAGCCACACUGGGACUGAGACACGGCCCAGAAUCCUACGGGAGGGAGCAGUGGGGAAUAUUGGAAAAUGGGCGAAAGACUGAUCCAGCAAUGCCGCGUAAGUGAUGAAGGCGUUAGGGUAGUAAAGCUCGUUUAACCGGGAUGAUAAUGACAGUACCGGGAGAAUAAGCUCCGGCUAACUACGUG